rnacentral:rRNA from 1 species
AGAGUUUGAUCCUGGCUCAGAGCGAACGCUGGCGGCGUGCUUAACACAUGCAAGUCGAGCGAGAAAGGGAACUUCGGUUCCUGAGUACAGCGGCGAACGGGUGAGUAAUACGUGGGUGAUCUACCCCUAGGGUGGGAAUAACCCGGGGAAACCCGGGCUAAUACCGAAUAAGACCACAGGAGGCAACUCCAGGGGUCAAAGGGAGCUUCGGCCCCCCCCAAGGGAUGAGCCCGCGGCCUAUCAGCUUGUUGGUGGGGUAAAGGCCCACCAAGGCAAAGACGGGUAGCUGGUCUGAGAGGAUGACCAGUCACACGGGGACUGAGACACGGCCCCGACUCCUACGGGAGGCAGCAGUGGGGAAUAUUGGACAAUGGGGGAAACCCUGAUCCAGCGACGCCGCGUGGGUGAUGAAGGCUUUCGGGUCGUAAAGCCCUGUCAGGAGGAAAGAACGCUCCUAUAGCGAAUAGCUAUAGGAAGUGACGGUACCUCCAAAGGAAGCACCGGCCAACUCCGUGCCAGCAGCCGCGGUAAGACGGAGGGUGCGAGCGUUGCUCGGAAUCACUGGGCGUAAAGGGUGCGUAGGCGGUCCCUCAAGUCUGGCGUGAAAGCCCAGGGCUCACCCCUGGAAGUGCGCUAGAAACUGAUGGACUUGAGUACCGGAGGGGAGAGUGGAAUUCCCGGUGUAGCGGUGAAAUGCGUAGAUAUCGGGAGGAAUACCGGUGGCGAAAGCGACUCUCUGGACGGUUACUGACGCUGAGGCACGAAAGCGUGGGGAGCAAACAGGAUUAGAUCCCCUGGUAGUCCACGCCGUAAACGAUGGGCACUAGGUGUCGGGGGUAUCCACUCCCCCGGUGCCGCCGCUAACGCAUUAAGUGCCCCGCCUGGGAACUAC